GGCCCCCAAGCCUCACCAAAAAACGCUCGGCAAGCUUUGCUGGCAACGUCCCUUAUUUUUCCAGCCCAGCCGCUCCCCUCAUCUCUUCCGCGCUUUCUGCGCAUGCUCCUUUGCCGCGUUAACCCCCUCCCCCCCGUUCUGACGUAGUAAAGGGCCCCUCACGAGACAGAGAGCAGCUUCCGAAGUGCGGGCUGGUUGGCUGCGGCGUCGCCCUGACCUCCAGGAACGGCUGGAAGGCGCCCUCCCUGCCAGAACCGCAGCGCAAUCUAAUAAUACCUGUCUACUUGGAAGGCUCCUUUCUACCUUCAAGCCCAACUUAGAGAAUCAACCGCAUAUGCUGUGGACAGAGAUCUUUGUGCCAGGCCACAUGGAUACCUACCUGCUCUUAUGAGUCAGGAACUAUGAAGAACAGAGGAAGAAGAAUCUGCUGGGCAAGAUCUUGCCCCUUCCUGGAACUUCCCACACCUCAUUUGGCAGGGAGGCAGACUCCAUCCCACUCAGGAUCAGUGCUUGCAAUGUGAAUGGAAGCAGUAGGGGAAUUAUGAAAUCAGAAAGCUUUUCCCCACCCCCAAUUUUAACCAAAUCAAGCCUGGACUGCCUUCUUGCACUGGCUACAUAUUGGCUACCAGGCCAGAUUUAAGGUUUGGGUACUAGUGUACAAAGACCUAAACAACUUGGGACCUGGAUACCUGAGAAAGCUCCUCCCCUGCCUGGUCACUGAGGUUAUUGGAGGGAAUGCUCCUGGUGGUUCCACAUGGACCUAUGGCUCAUUUGGAAUCCACCAGGAGAAAAGCCUUUAGUGUGGUGGCCCCUUCUCUUUGGACUCCCUACCCCUGGAGGUCAGGCAGGUACCAACGCUAGGCUGCUUCCAGUGCCUCCUGAAAACAACUCUAUUUCGAGAAGCCUUAACUCAACAGACUAGCCACUGUUUUUACUUGUCCUUUGUUUUAAAUUGAACUAUUUUAAUUUGCUUUCUUAACCUUUCUUUUUAUUGUUUAUUCCUAUGUGCACCGCUCCGGAAUCAAUAUUAGAUAUGGAACGGUAUAUAAAUAUUGUAAAUAAAUAAGUGGGGAAGGAAUCCUCUGCACCUCAAUAAUUCAAACAUUGCUCCCAUCCUGGAACUUUCACUGCCUCCGCCCACUUUGAGAGACUUGAGUGAUGGCAUGGCCUUCUCCAAAUCAGUCUCACUGCAAACCUGAGACACUGCCACCGUGAGUCCUGUUUCCACAAACAGAAAAACAGCCUAUGGAAAACUCUCUCAAAGCCACAAAACAUGUGUGCUUGAGUUCCAAACUUGAGUCUGUCCAACACUCAGUACACUGGAUCAUAUUCGUUCCCUUGAACAUCUUGAUUGGUUAGAAUGCUCCCAGUUGUUGAUGUUAUUGUGAUGUCAUUGUGUCAAUGCUACCUCUGAUUAGCUCAUAACAUUUCAACUUCUAUCCUUGUUGGAACCACUUGUGGAGCAGGGCCGGCUCCAGGUUCAAGGUCCUGGAUUCAAUUGCUCUCUGGUAGGCUCUCUCUUCCAACCGUGGCCUUACUAGGCAGUGGCAGCAAACAAAAGAAUAGCAGCAGUGCUGGCUGGUUGGGUCUAACCAUCAGUUUGAUUUCCCACAAUGCUCCAGAGGAACAUUACAGGGGGAGCAUUGUGGGACCUCCUCCUCCUCAGAGUCCCAGAUUGGAAAAUGGGUGAAUGGCGGAAGAGGAGAAGAAAGGGAGGUCCCAUUGCCCAAGCAAAAUUUUGAUCAUGUGACCUUCAAUGGAGCCGUUCUUCAAAACAGAACACAUUUUCUUUGUAAAAUUGGGUCAUCUUGUAAUUUGUUUCAUUGGGAGGUAACUACAGGAGACCAUAUCAUAAGAGAUCUUGGUUUUCUGAAAUGGGCAAGAUAAGAGGAACCUUUAUUCUUUCAAGUCAUUUACAAAAGGCUUUUUUUUCCCCCUGUAGAAGCAAGCAGGAGUCUGAUUGUGUCCUAAAAUCCGGAAUGGAUUAACACCUCAAAGUCAGUUAAUACAGAGACAUGCCCAGUAACCAAACUGGAAAUGUAAGGUCUGAGUUUGAACUCUCCUGAAACUACAGCUAGUCACCAGAUAAAAGUAAAUAUUAAUGAGUGUAAUACUAUGCAUAUUUAGACAGAAAAAAGUCCUACAAAUGGCUGGGGAAUGCUGGCAGUUUUAGGACUUUUUUUCUGUCUAAACAUGCAUAGGGUUGCACCCUAACAAACUGAUUCUGUUGAUCAGGGGUGGGCAAUUUGUGGCCCCCUCCAGAUUUUUUGGGCCUACAAUUCCCAUGAUCCCUCACUAUUGGCUGGGGCUGAUGGGAGUUGUAGACCAAAACAUCUGUUGCCCAUACUUGCUAUAGAGAGGUGUAUCUAAGCAUGCUGAUUUAAAUGGGUGUAGACUCCUAACUUUGUACAGGACUGGGCUGUAAGUGUGCCAAGCCCAUGCCAGAAUGAGCAGUUCUCUCCUGUGGGAUUUAGCUCUUCUAUAAAGCACAUCCCAUGUUCAGCUUCCCUAACCUGCCAUCCUCCAGGUGCAUUAGACAACUCCCAUAAGCUGAGCAACAGGGUUGGGAAAGGAUGGCUUAGCUGUGUGCAGGCCAGACAGUUAGGCUUUUAUUCAAGAAAUCCUGGACACCCACAGAUAGGAGGGGCCCAAACAUCAGUUGCGGGAAGAUGGCGUUGGCAGGUUCACGUAGCUUUUCAUGGGUGGGAGGGGUCUGAUCUUGCGUCCCGCCCACCCCCCUUUGCGCUGCCACAGGCCGCUUCUGGGCCGCUUUCCUAACCACCGGUUCCGGCCAGCUUUCCCAAUGAUCCGUUUGUUGUGGUCGACAUUGGAAACUCGUCCCACUGUACACAUGCAAGUUUCCAGAACCUGAAAAAGUGAGGAAGGCCAUGAAGCAGGAUAUUGCAGACAUUUUCACAUGAUUUUUUAGAGGAACCUGGCAAAUGUUCACCUUGUCCUCCCGUGUCUUCGAUAGCUUUUAACAACAACUGGAUCUUUUUACGUGCCAUCUGCUGUUUUUAUCUGAGUUUUUUCUUAUGGGUCUGGGUCCACUGUCUUUUUCUUUAAUCUAACCUCCUUUUAACCUGCUAUAUUUAUUAUUGUUAUUAUAUUUCACCUGCUAAUUUAUUUUUGUAUUGUGUUUUUACUACAAGCUGCCAAGAAGCCAUGUUGCAAAAAGCAGGUUACAAGUAUAAACAUAAAUAAACAAAUACCUACAUA